GCCAGGUGUGGUGGCGCACGCCUGUCAUCUCAGCUACUCAAGAGGCUGAGGCGGGAGAAUCGCUUGAGCCCAGGAGGUGGAGGUUGCAGUGCGCUGAGAUUGCGCCACUGCACUCCAACCUGGGUGACAGAGUGAGACUCUGUCUCAA
ensembl:misc_RNA Metazoa_SRP Metazoan signal recognition particle RNA